rnacentral:rRNA from 1 species
UACGUAGGUGGCAAGCGUUGUCCGGAAUUAUUGGGCGUAAAGAGCUCGUAGGCGGUUCGGCAAGUCAGCUGUGAAAUCUCCACGCUCAACGUGGAGGGGUCAGCUGAUACUGCUGUGACUCGAGUCCGGUAGGGGAGUGUGGAAUUCCCGGUGUAGCGGUGAAAUGCGCAGAUAUCGGGAGGAACACCAGUAGCGAAGGCGGCACUCUGGGCCGGUACUGACGCUGAGGAGCGAAAGCGUGGGGAGCAAACAGG